CAAGGAGACGCACAAGUCUGGGUCUGCAGCGAGAUUACAUUCCAAAGGAGGAAACAAGUGAACACCUCAGAUCUGAUAUCUCCGCCAGAUUGAGUUUGUAACCAGCUUUAUUGUUUAAGCCUGCUGGGAUUUCAUCAAAGGCGGCUGCUGUUUACCCAGAACCAUUUCAUUGGAGAAAACAGCAAACAGACCUGCAUUUCUAUCUGA